GACGAACGCUGGCGGCGUGCUUAACACAUGCAAGUCGAACGGAAAGGCCCUGCUUUUGUGGGAUGCUCGAGUGGCGAACGGGUGAGUAACACGUGAGUAACCUGCCCUUGACUUUGGGAUAACUUCAGGAAACUGGGGCUAAUACCGGAUAGGAGCUCCUGCUGCAUGGUGGGGGUUGGAAAGUUUCGGCGGGUGGGGAUGGACUCGCGGCUUAUCAGCUUGUUGGUGGGGUAGUGGCUUACCAAGGCUUUGACGGGUAGCCGGCCUGAGAGGGUGACCGGCCACAUUGGGACUGAGAUACGGCCCAGACUCCUACGGGAGGCAGCAGUGGGGAAUAUUGCACAAUGGGCGGAAGCCUGAUGCAGCAACGCCGCGUGCGGGAUGACGGCCUUCGGGUUGUAAACCGCUUUCGCCUGUGACGAAGCGUGAGUGACGGUAAUGGGUAAAGAAGCACCGGCUAACUACGUG
rnacentral:rRNA from 1 species